rnacentral:rRNA from 1 species
AACUAACGCUGGCGGCGUGUCUUAGUCAUGCAAGUCGAACGGGGUUGUGCCCUUCGGGGCGCAGCCAAGUGGCGGACGGGUGAGUAACACGUGGGGAACCUGCCCUCAAACUGGGAAUAACCCGCCUAACGGCGGGCUAAUACCGAAUGUGGUUCGUAUCUCGCAUGGGAUACGAACUAAAGGUGGCCUCUUCUUGAAAGCUACCGUUUGAGGAUGGCCCCGCGCCCGAUUAGCUAGUUGGUAGGGGUAAUGGCCUACCAAGGCGACGAUCGGUAGCCGGCCUGAGAGGGUGACCGGCCACAUUGGGAUUGAGAUAAGGCCCAGUCUCCUACGGGAGCCAGCAGUCUAGAAAUUUGGGCAAUGGGCGAAAGCCUGACGCAGCCGUGCCGCGUGAAUGAUGAAGGUCUUAGGAUUGUAAAGUUCUUUCG